rnacentral:hammerhead_ribozyme from 1 species
ACACUACUGAGGAGUCCCACAAUAGGACGAAACCGUCAUCCAGUGU